GACUUGUGUGUGUUGCUGUUCAGCGGUCUGCAUUCAAAAGAGUGUUACGACAUGCGGCAGUGGCGCCGUAAAAUCUUCAACUGGAUCGCAACUGGACUUAAUUGCCUGGUUGCAGUCAUUCGGUUGAUCGUUUACUGUGAGAAAAUUAGAGUGUUCAAGGCAGGCAUUAUUGCAAUUGAAUAUGUUAGCAUGGAAUAAUAAGAUAAGGCUUUCGCGUUUAUUUUGUUGGUUUCUAGAUCGGAAGUAAUGAUUGAAAGGGAUAGUUGGGGGUGCUAGUAUUCAGUGGUCAGCGGUGAAAUGCGAGGACCCAUUGAAGACUAACUUAUGCGAAAGCAUU
rnacentral:rRNA from 1 species